CAAGGUAUAGCUUAGAUACAAAGCACCUCACUUACACCGAGAAGACGUUCGUGUAACUCGAACUACUUUGA
rnacentral:tRNA from 1 species